rnacentral:rRNA from 1 species
CCUACGGGAGGCAGCAGUGAGGAAUAUUGGUCAAUGGUCGGGAGACUGAACCAGCCAAGCCGCGUGAGGGAUGAAGGUACAGAGUAUCGUAAACCUCUUUUGUCAGGGAACAAAGGCGGGGACGUGUCCCCGGAUGAGUGUACCUGAAGAAAAAGCAUCGGCUAACUCCGCGCCAGCAGCCGCGGUAAUACGGAGGAUGCGAGCGGUAUCCGGAUUUAGUGGGUUUAAAGGGUGCGCAGGCGGGCUGGUAAUGCAGCGGUCAAAGCCCGGGGCUCACCCCCGGCCCGCCGUUGAAACGGGCAGUCUUGAUUUGGAGAGAGGUAUGCGGAAUGCGCGGUGUAGCGGUGAAAUGCAUAGAUAUCGCGCAGAACUCCGAUUGCGAAGGCAGCAUGCCGGCUCCACACUGACGCGGAGGCACGAAAGCGUGGGUAUCGAACAGGAUUAGAUACCCUGGUAGUC